rnacentral:RNase_P_RNA from 1 species
UGCUGUCUGUGGGCAAUCGCGGCAAAACCCCCGGGGGGAAUUUGCUGAGGAAAGUCCGGACUGCAUAGAGCAGGGAGUCCUCUUGAAAAGGAGGAUACUGCGGACCAUACGCCGCAGGAAGACAAGUGCAACAGAAAGAAUACCGCCCGGCAACGGGUAAGGGUGAAAAGGUGGAGUAAGAGACCACCGGGGCAGGGUGAGAAUCCUGUCUGCAAUGUAAACUCCUCCCGCAGCAAGGCCAAAUAGGGGGCGAUGUCGUGGCUCGCGGCAAUAACAGUCCCGGGUACUGGUCGCUCAGACAGAUGAUUGCCGCCGUCUUAUGACGGUACAGAAUCCGGCUUACAUCAGGUAACAUACU